AUUGAACGCUGGCGGCAGGCCUAACACAUGCAAGUCGAGCGGAUGAAGGGAGCUUGCUCCUGGAUUCAGCGGCGGACGGGUGAGUAAUGCCUAGGAAUCUGCCUGGUAGUGGGGGAUAACGUCCGGAAACGGGCGCUAAUACCGCAUACGUCCUGAGGGAGAAAGUGGGGGAUCUUCGGACCUCACGCUAUCAGAUGAGCCUAGGUCGGAUUAGCUAGUUGGUGGGGUAAAGGCCUACCAAGGCGACGAUCCGUAACUGGUCUGAGAGGAUGAUCAGUCACACUGGAAUUGAGACACGGUCCAGACUCCUACGGGAGGCAGCAGUGGGGAAUAUUGGACAAUGGGCGAAAGCCUGAUCCAGCCAUGCCGCGUGUGUGAAGAAGGUCUUCGGAUUGUAAAGCACUUUAAGUUGGGAGGAAGGGCAGUAAGUUAAUACCUUGCUGUUUUGACGUUACCAACAGAAUAAGCACCGGCUAACUUCGU
rnacentral:rRNA from 1 species